rnacentral:rRNA from 1 species
UCGGGUUGUAAAGCACUUUCAGUGAGGAAGAACGCCUGGUGGUUAAUACCCAUCAGGAAAGACAUCACUCACAGAAGAAGCACCGGCUAACUCCGUGCCAGCAGCCGCGGUAAUACGGAGGGUGCGAGCGUUAAUCGGAAUUACUGGGUCGUAAAGCGCGCGUAGGUGGCUUGAUAAGCCGGUUGUGAAAGCCCCGGGCUCAACCUGGGAACGGCAUCCGGAACUGUCAAGCUAGAGUGCAGGAGAGGAAGGUAGAAUUCCCGGUGUAGCGGUGAAAUGCGUAGAGAUCGGGAGGAAUACCAGUGGCGAAGGCGGCCUUCUGGACUGACACUGACACUGAGGUGCGAAAGCGUGGGUAGCAAACAGGAUUAGAUACCCUGGUAGUCCACGCCGUAAACGAUGUCGACCAGCUGUUGGGUGCCUAGCGCACUUUGUGGCGAAGUUAACGCGAUAAGUCGACCGCCUGGGGAGUACGGCCGCAAGGUUAAAACUCAAAUGAAUUGACGGGGGCCCGCACAAGCGGUGGAGCAUGUGGUUUAAUUCGAUGCAACGCGAAGAACCUUACCUACUCUUGACAUCCUGCGAAUUUGGUAGAGAUACCUUAGUGCCUUCGGGAACGCAGAGACAGGUGCUGCAUGGCUGUCGUCAGCUCGUGUUGUGAAAUGUUGGGUUAAGUCCCGUAACGAGCGCAACCCUUGUCCUUAUUUGCCAGCGCGUAAUGGCGGGAACUCUAAGGAGACUGCCGGUGACAAACCGGAGGAAGGUGGGGACGACGUCAAGUCAUCAUGGCCCUUACGAGUAGGGCUACACACGUGCUACAAUGGUCGGUACAAAGGGUUGCCAACUCGCGAGAGUGAGCCAAUCCCGAAAAGCCGAUCUCAGUCCGGAUCGGAGUCUGCAACUCGACUCCGUGAAGUCGGAAUCGCUAGUAAUCGUGGAUCAGAAUGCCACGGUGAAUACGUUCCCGGGCCUUGUACACACCGCCCGUCACACCAUGGGAGUGGACUGCACCAGAAGUGGUUAGCCUAACGCAAGAGGGCUACUCCUACGGGAGGCAGCAGGUUAC